rnacentral:lncRNA from 1 species
AUGGACUUCAUGGUCGAGCUUGGAGGUGGUCUCAACGAAAAAGGACCUAGAAAUCGAACUUUUUCGGGCACCGAAAAGAAUUUGAAGGGAAUCAAGACGUCAGGGAGUCUAGGCGAUAUUAGUCGAAGGUUUAGUUUCACAUUGAGCGCCCCUGAAAAGUUCCAAGGCAGUGAUUUAGAGACCUCAGGCGAUAGGUUAAGUCCUAACUUAGGAGUCCCGGAAAAUUUUAAAGAUCCAAGCAAAUCACCUGUUCCUAAAAGGGAUGGAAAACAUUGCGCUAUUGACGGAGGAGCAGGAGAGAAAUUAAAUUUCAACCAAUUUACCCCUGAAAAGUUUGAAUGGCCGCGUAGCAUCUCCCCAAACUCUGUCAAUAAGAAAGUACUAGAUGGACCUGCUGAGUUCUCUAAAUUUUCAUUCAUGAAUGCAUCUCUUGAGAGUGGAUUGAAAACGAAUAAUUUAAGAGGGAGGAAGCACAGCUUUACUUUUGGGACUUCGGAACGACUAAAUGGCAGUCCGUUGACGCCUGAAAAACAGAGUGAAUCCAGGCAAAGAAAAUUUAGCUUCUCGUCUGAAACUACAAGGAAGUUUAAUGACAGUGUCCCAGCGGUGCCGAAGCUAGAAAAUAAUCUUAAGAGCGAGCAAAUUCAUCUUUGGCUGAAUCAUCAAGGAAGUGCUAAGUUUGAGGAACCCUUACUACCCAAUAAGGGACUCGCGUCAUUUGGAGGUAUAGCGGUUGUUGACAAAAAGAACCAAUUUCAAGAUUCUUCUGAUAAGUUCAAAAAUGGUUCUCCUCAGAAAGGACUGAAAAACCAUCAGGACAAUACUGCUCGCUCAAUCAGAAGCCCCGACCGGCUGAGUGACAAUAAAUUUGGUCAAUUUUUAGAGGUACCUGGUGAUGGUGACUGUGUGAAGCCAAUUAGGCUGAGCCACAGUGCUUCAUCAAUCGAUGAUGCGCAAAAAACUGGGAACGGCCUUUACUGGAGCGAGUCUAUGCCGAAUUUGGCUAAUCCUGGACACCUAACCGAUGAGAUAAACAUGACAACGUCCUCAGAUGAAUCAGAAACUGACUCUGAGAGGAGUGGCUGGGUUUCCAGUCACCAUUCCUCGAUUGCAUCCUCGAGUGAACACAGUCAGCAAGACGCGGACCCUCGGGUACUAAAUACUGAUACUCUUCGUAGAAAACUUGAAAAACUUGCGCGGAAAAAUCAAGAGAAAACGCCAGAAACAACUCCUGAGGAUGAGCACGUACUUUUCUCAGAAUCAUUGGAAAAACGAGUUCGGCAUCAAAAAGAUCAACAAACUCUUGAGCUUCCCGAACAUAUUCAACAAAAAGAUGGAGAGAGAAAUCCAGCUGACAAACAACUUCACCUCUUACAAGGAGUGCAAAAACAACCUCCAAAGCGUUAUAGGAGUCUGUCUUCAGAAAACAUCUACAAUAUUCGCUGUCCGCCAUAUUUUGAAAAAAUGGAGCUCCCGCGAAAAAUUGGUAAGGACUGUGAGAAGUCCGUCGAGGCGGAGUCAAUGAAGACUACGACGUCCCGGCGGCACGAAUUUAGCGCGAGCAGCGAGGCGAUUCUCCUAGACGAGAGCGCGUCCUCCCCGGUUCGGAGCACCCGAGCGACCGAGAGGGUGAGCUGGACGCCGUCUACGAGGAGCUCCAGGUGCCCCCGCCGCGGCAGUUUGCGGAUGCGCCCUCCCCGCCGAGGGCCUUCCGCGAUGGCGAGUCCCACCCCAAACUCCCCGGCUCCGUGGAUAAUAUUCUCUACCACGUUUACGAAGCCGUUGAGACCGACAGGGGAGCCAACGAGGAGGACACUCCUGUCCAGGCACCGGUCCAACCGAAAAGUUUGA